AAAAUUCUUAAUAAAUAAACAAAAUAAAAAGAACUUUAACUGAGAAAGGGGUCCAAUAGGACACAGGAUGCAUUUAUACAGGUGUAAGUUGGUAAAAAUCCAAGAGGUAAAAGCAUGUUUGUCCAUUUAAUCUGUCGAAUGAAGAAAUUUUGACAUGAGCUAGAUGGUCAAUGUUGUAGAUUACUUCCUUCUGUAAAUACAUUCUAAUGUGUACAGACAGUUACUUUCUUCUCACUGUCCCUUCAUUUUGGGUCGGUGGACACAUCCAAUGUCACCACAAUAAUAAGAUAAUAUUGAAAAACAAAGAAGCUUUAUGGGCCUGGCUUAUACACAUGGCUUAUUUUAGGAUGAAUUUAUUCUACAAUUCUGGCUCUUUAGCCUGCCUGUCUAGCUAAAAAUUUAUUUGUAGUAAUAAUACAAAGUUCAAUCUGGCACAAGCCUACUAGACAAGCCUACUGUGACUAGUAUGUUCUUUAGGGAAACAACCUAUUGGUUCAUCACAAGGGCGAAUAUCCAGUAUUUGGAAAAUAAGGUGAGAGGCAUUGGACAUCGAGAUUAAAGUGACAGGGCAGGGAAGUAACUGAUUCAGGGAGAAUUGGUAGGUUGGUGGAGCAAAGCAGCAGGGCCUGUUAAGAGACACACAGAUUGGGUACAGUGAAACCCGGAAGCAGAGGCCAUUCUGCAGACCUCAGACCUUGGCAACUGGUAAAAAAAAGACCACCAGGUCUAGGGAAUGUAAGAACUGGAUAGAGAAUUAAUACAUGCUUGCUCUGUUCAUAUGGCACCUCAAUUGGUCUGUGCAAGUGAUUUUAGGAGGCAGCUGUGAUGUCCAAUUUUUUUGGAUGAGGAAAUUGAUGUUCAGGAAAGCUAGAGACAGAGAAGGCAGUUACUGGAACAGCAGCAAAGCUAAUGAUGCUGGGUCACUAAAUUCCAGCACAAAUCCCAAAACUUCCAAAAUACCCUAUGACACAAAACUCUCUGGUCUGAAACCUGUGGGCCAACUUUUUGCUAUGAAAAUGUGCUCGUGUGUAUGGCGUGUGUGUGUGUGUGUGUGUGUGUGUGUGUGUGUGUGUACUAGUUUCAAAGGGAAAUAAAACUGGGAAGGGGAGAUGAAGAUGGUCAGGUUAUUCCAUUACCCUUUAAGAUUUUAAAACUCGGCAUUUAUGACCAUCAGAUUGUGAUCCAUCUACUAAAACAUAAAAAUAUGGAGGCCUAAUCUCCCCAGGUUUAGGAUGCAAUUCUGUCUCUGGAAUACCAAGCAACAGUAUCAAAUGCAAAGUCUGCCUAUGACUGAGGACACUUUGGUAAACAAUCUUCCACCUCAUGUUAGCAGCAUAAUCGGCAGUCAAAGUCUGUGUGUAUCUGUGAUUUUUUUUUAAUCCUUUCACUCUUUCUUCCUCUUUUUCUCCAUUGUAUUCCUUCUUUACUGGCCUCCCUGCCAUCCCCCUAAACACUUUUCUCUUGCCUAUGGAGAUGGGAAGCAAAAGGAAAUUGAUGCAGCAGCGGGUUUAAUAUGACAUUUGAAAAGUGACUUUUUGAUUUUCAAUUAACCUUGCACAAAGAGGAAAUAUUGAAAUUCGUCCCUUUGUUCUUGGCUGGAUCUGCAGUCAGGCUGCUUGGUUCCAAGAGCUGAACGGGUUUGGGGUGGGGCAGUGGGGAAGGAAGAGGCAGGAGAGAGGGAGAGAUCCUGGCACCUAGGAAGCAUUCCUUCUGUUUGCACAGAAUGAGACAAGACCAGCCUGUAGUAAUUACACUCAGAACGGGGGAACAGGUAGGGGAGAAAAUGCUGUCGUCAUUUGUUUGACUUAAUUGUAUGCUUUUAUGAGCCGUCUGGCUGGAAGGAUUAAACUUACUUUUAAUAACACUUCCUUUCAGAAAGAAUUGGAUUUGAAGUUUCCCAGCAGGACCUCCCAGUCGACAGCCGGGCCCCUUCCCCAAUCCCUGCGCCCCUCCUCCUUUUCCCUGGAGUCUACCCUCUCCCCUUCGCUUCUUUGAAAGCCCCAUUGUUCUGUUUGUAGAAGAAAGAGACGCUGUCGCCGCGCUGCUAGGCGUAAAGUUAACUCCGUACAUCUCUCUUUCUGGAUAUCUCCUCUUUCUGGGUUUUCUAUACAAUCUUCACUGAAGGCUGUAUCCGCCACCUCUCCCACUUGCAAGAGGAAACCCUGACAAUUAUAUAUGGGUAUAAAGUAACCGGAGGCAGUGACCCCCCUUAAGCCUCAGGGGGAGCCACGUGCGGACAGUGGCUAGGUGCCGUAAACACACACUCCGAUCAUUGUUAAGGAGCAGUGCUUUCGCCCACGCACCCUUUCAAUCGCUUCCUUCCCAGCUCCGGUCCGGUCCUUGCAGAAGUCUGCCCCUUGCUCCCUGCUGUUUACUCUCGCUCUCCUUCUUCCCUGUCGCAGUUUCUGUCUGCCUUCUCUCCUGCUCCCUUGCUUCGACAGGCUGGGCGAAUGGCAGCGUCUGGGUCCCCCGGGCCACUCGGAGUGUACCCCGCCCCAGGCCGCGCAAUGUGAACCCGUGCCGAAAGCGCCAAGACCUCCAUCUCAUCCCUAGAUGGCAGCAGGAUUCUGAAGCUGGCGCAGCCCUCGGCAGCCCUUCUGGUCUGUGUUCCUGAACAGAUUGCCAGGGGAUACGGUGGCUAAACAGCCCGGCGCCUCCCCGGAGUGCAGGUCAAGCAGAAGAGCAAGCUGGACAGAUGCAGCUGGCGGGGCCUCUGGGGUCGGAUGCUGAAGCUUCGGACACCACAUCCUCUCAGCACACAGAUGUGCAGAGUGAAGACAACAGGGAACCCCAAAGCUGACCUACAGUGGUCAGAGAAGAAUCCCAGGAAUGUGCCUUCCCAGUAUACAGCCAUAGUUCCUGACCUACAAAUGAUGUUGAUUUUAUCGGACUCAAACUACUCUGUUGGACCCACAGGUAAGAGUCAUGUUUUAUAAUAAAAUGGUCUCAAAACAUUCUUCCUCCAUAAAAAUUACCCCCAACUUAAUAUUUCAUCACUCUUGCAGCAUUUUCUUCCUCUGACUUCUUUAACACUUAAUUGUCUGUAAUAGUCAUUCAUCCUACUAGUUUUUUUGUUUGUCUUUUUGUUUUUUAGGGCCUCACCUGCGGCAUAUGGAAGUUCCCAGGCUAGGGCUUGAAUCUGAACUGCAGCUGCCACGCUAUGCCACAGCUCACAGCAAUGCCAGAUUUUUAACGCACUGAGCAAGGCCAGGGAUAGAACUGCGUCCUCAUGGAUGCUAGUUGUGGUCAUAACCCACUGAGCCACAAUGGGAACUCCCCCUACUACUUUUCUAUAUACUACUUUACCCUAUUUUUUGACAGGAAUCUUAUAUUCUCAAAAAAAUGUGAAGUUUCUUGAGAACUUUACCUAGUGCAGUGUUUGUCAUAUUUUGUUUACAAUAUCACUAUAAUUCCAUAGGGAAUGUGGGAUGUUCUGUAGGAAAAAAAGGUAAAGAGGUAUGCUCUUUUAAACAUUUGACAAGUUGUAUAUAAUAGAAAAUCAGUUAUUACCUCCAUUUGACUUAUAAAUUCAAAAUUUUAAACUUUUUUUCUUAUGGAAACAAAUUUUUUAAUAACCAUUAACCAAAAAAAAAAAAAUGACUUAAAAUAUUUUUCUGGCUUAAAAAUACAUAUACUUUAAUUUUUUUGCUCUUUUUUAGGGCCGCACCCGCUGUAUAUGGAGGUUCCGAGGCUAGGGGUCCAGUUGGAGCUAUAGCUGCCGUCCUAUGCCACAGCCACAGCAACAUCGGAUCCGAGUCAUGUCUGUGACCUACACUACAGUUCACGGCAAUACCAGAUGCUUAACCCACAGAGAGAGGCCAGAGAUCAAACCCGCAACCUCAUGGUUCCUAGUGGGAUCCAUUUCUGCUGCAUCAUGACGGGAACUCCAAAAAAUUUUUUUAUUAAAACUACUCUUUAAGGUUAAUUUUAGAUUCAUGACAAAAUUAAAGGGAAAGUGCAGAGAUUGUCUGUAUAAACUCUGUCACCACACAUGCAUAGCCUCCCUGUUACCAACAUUCCCCCCAGAGUGGUAUAUUUUUCACAAUUGAUGAACCUACAUUGACACAUCAUUAUCACCCAAAGUACCUUGUUUACAAAAUGGUUCACUCUUGAUUUUGUACUUUCUAUGAGUUUGGCUAAAUGCAUAAUGACACAUAUUCAUCAUUAUGGCAUCAUACAGAUUAUUUUCACUAAGAUAUAGAUUUCUCACUAAAAAUCUUCUGCCUAUUUAUUAUUCCCCUCCCUCACAAGCCCCUGAAAACCACUGAUAUUUGUAUGGUCUUCAUACUUUUGCCUUUUACAGAAUGUCAUAUAUUUGGAAUCAUAUACUUUAUAGUCUUUUCUGAUUGGAUUCUUUUACUUAGUAAUGUGCAUUUAAGCCCCUCCAUGUCUUACAAUAAUAGCUCAUUUGCUUUUAGCACUGAAAAAUACUCCAUUGUAUAGAUGUAGCAUAAUUUACUUAUGAAGGAUAUCAGUUUUCCAAGUUUUGACAAUGAUGAAUAAAAGCUAUUCUAACCAUGCCUAUGCAGGCUUAUGUAUAGACAAUACCAAGGAAUGAGAUUGCUGGAUUGUAUGGUAAGAGUAUGUUUUGUUUUGUAAGAAAUUGCCAAAUUGUUCUUCCAAAGUGGCUGCACCAUUUUGCAUUCCCACCAGUUAUGAAUGAGAGUUCCUGUUGUUUCACAUCCUCUCCAGCAUUUGAUACUGUCAAUGUUCCAGAUUUUGGCCAUUCUAAUAGGACUAUUGGUAUUUUGCCAUUAUUUAUUUUACAUUUUCCUAAUGGUAUUUGACUUGGAGCAUCUUUUCACAUACCUAUUUGGCAUUUGAAUAUAUUCUUUGGUGAGGUGUCAAGUAAGGCCUUUGGCUCACUUUUUAAUUGAGUUGGUUUUUCCCUUAUCAUUGAGUUUCAAGAGUUAUCUGCAUAUUUUGGAAAAUAGUUCUUUAUCAGAUAUGUAUUUUGCAAAUGUUUUCAGUCUGUGAGUUGUUUUCUCAUUCUCUUGACAUUGAUUUUUGCAGAGCAAAAAAAUGUUUAAUUUUAAUGAAGUCAUGCUUUAUUCUUGCAUGGAUCAUGCUUUUGAUAUUGUAUCUACAAAGGCAUUGACAUACCCAAGGUAAUCUAGGUUUUCUCCAGUGUUAUGUUCUAGGAGUUUUAUGGUGUUGUGUUUUACAUUAAAGUCUGUGUUCCUUUUCGAAUUAUUUUUUUGUGACAAGGUCUGUGUUUUGAUUCCUAGUUUUGCAUGUAGAUAUUUAGUUGUUUCAACACCAGUUCUUGAAAACACCGUCUUUGCUCCAUUUUAUUACUUUGUGCCUUUAUCAAAGAUCGCCUGAAUAUAUUUGUAUAGGUUGACUUCAGGGCUCUCUAUUCCAUUCCACUGGUCUAUUUGUCUAUUAUUUUACCACACUGACUUGGGUAGCUUAACAGUAAGUUUUGAAGUCUAGUAGAGUCAGUUGUCCAACUUUAUUUUUCUCCUUCAAUAUAUUUCUUGCUCUUCUCUGUCUUUUGCCUCUCCACAUAAACUUUAGAAUUAGUUUGUCAACAUCCACAUGAUAACUUGGUACAGCUUUGAUUGUAAUUGCUUUGAAUCUAUAGAUCAAGUGGAAGACCUGACAUAUUGACAGCAUUGACUCUUUCUAUCUAUGAACAUGGAAUAUCUCUCCAUUUAUUUAGUCCUUUGAUUUUGUUUAUUAGGAUAUUGUAGUUUUCCUCAAUGUAAAUUGUACAUAUUUUGUUGGAUUUAUAGCUAAGUGUUUCUUCUUUGGCGUGCUAGUAUAACUGUUAUUGUGUUUUUGAUUUCAUAUUCACUUGUUCAUUACUGAUAUAUAGGAAAGAGAUUGAUUUUAGUAUGUUAACCUUGUAUCCUACAACCUUGUUACAAUCUAUUACUAGUUCCAGCAGAUUGUCAAUUCUUUCAGAUUUUCUAUAUUUCUGUGAACAAAAAUAAUUUUAUUUUUUCUUUUCCAAUCUAUGUAUAUUUUAUUUCUUUUUCUUGUCUGUUUUCACUAGCUAGAAAUUCUGAUAUUAUAUUGAGAAGAAGUUGUAAGAGGGGGCAUCCUUGCCCUGUAUCUUAUCUUGUUGGAAAGCUUUGAGUCUCUCACCAUUAAAUGUGAUGUUAGCAGUAGGUUUUUAAAAAAAUAUUAUUUAUCAACUUUAACAAAUCCUCAGUGGCUUUUUCAACAAUGUGAAUGAAAAAUUCUUUGGUGUUUCUUUAAUAUGAAAUAUGAAGAAAUUGGAGCUUAAGUGAAGAAGGUUGAACAACCACAUCCAAAAAAUGUUCAUCAAUUAAUCACCAUCAGUCUGGAGAGAUGUCAUUUUGUUGGGAUAUGAAGUUUUACACUUCGUCACUUAUAUUCAGUAUUCUUGUCAAUAUGUUACCUAACCAAGGAUUGCUAUUCAAAACUGUAGGUAGUAAGGAGUUAUGAAGAAAUAUCUAUUUUGAGUAAACACGUCUGUGUUGGCUCCCAGGUGUAUUAGGUACAUUGUCAGGUAUUGUGAGGGUGCCAAAUGUGACGCAUGAUCAAUAAGCUUGAUGCUAAUGUAUUUCUCUAGGGGAUAAAAUAAUUGUAUGCAAGGCAAAACCUGUCAGGUCAUGAGAUCCUUUUUCUCGCCUCCUCAUCUGCCAUUUUUUUCUUUCUCACCACGCUAAGAAUGCUGGAUUCUGCUUCUUUCAUAUAGUGUCACUUAUAUGUGGAAUCUAAUUUUUGAAAUAAUACAAAAGAACUUGUUCGUAGGACAGAAUCAGACUCAAAGAUUUUGAGGUCAAAUUCAGGGUUACGAAAACGUAAACUGAGGGGGGAAGGGAUAAAUUGGGUGAAUGGUGUUGGCACAUAAACACUACUAUAUAAAGGAGAGAUAGUUAACAGGGACCUACUGUAUGGCACAGGGAAGUCUAUUCAAUGUUCUCUAAUAAUCCAUAUGGAAAAGAUGAAUAUAUGUAUUUAUAUAUGUAUCUGAUUCACUUUGCUGUAAGCCUAAAAGUUAUAUAACUUUGUAAAUCAACUAUACCCCACUUUUAAAAAUGUUGUAAAUUAAAAUAAAUAAAUAAAAGAAAACACUGGAUAUAAAAGUGUAAUUCCGAGCACUUCCCUGACUCAAAAGUUUUGGAUCUGAUGUUUCCUUUCUACAAAAUACUCAUUCCCCUCAUCCAAGCUCACUACUGCCUGCUACAUGCCCCCGCCCCACCAAAACUCACUCAAACCUUCACAUGCAUGCUUUAGAUAUAGUCUAGAUAUUUUCCAGAGCUUACAUAAAAUACCAUAGGCCACAUGGUAUCAGAGGAUUUGUCAUUAUGCAUGAUUUUUUUCAUGUAUGCAUUUGUGUAUAUUUGUUUAAUUUAUGGAUUCUGUAUGAUCAAAGAAGGCAGAAAAUUAGCUUGUUUUGUUUUUCACAUCGUGCCUGAUAAUGGGACCAGAUCUCUCUCUCUCUCCCUGGUAGGUGACAUAUUUGUUAUAUCAAUGAAUUUAUAAAAAUGAUAAUAUCUUCUCCCCAGCUGAGUGAAGAUGAUGUUUGAAUCAAAGUCAUGACAUUGGGCUGAAACUUGAAAGUUGCGUAGGAUUUUAACAGGCUGAAGA